GACGAACGCUGGCGGCGUGCUUAACACAUGCAAGUCGAACGGAAAGGCCUCUUUCGGGGGGUACUCGAGUGGCGAACGGGUGAGUAACACGUGAGUAACCUGCCCUUGACUUUGGGAUAACUUCAGGAAACUGGGGCUAAUACCGGAUAGGAGCUCCUGCUGCAUGGUGGGGGUUGGAAAGUUUCGGCGGUUGGGGAUGGACUCGCGGCUUAUCAGCUUGUUGGUGGGGUAGUGGCUUACCAAGGCUUUGACGGGUAGCCGGCCUGAGAGGGUGACCGGCCACAUUGGGACUGAGAUAAGGCCCAGACUCCUACGGGAGGCAGCAGUGGGGAAUAUUGCACAAUGGGUGGAAGCCGGAUGCAGCAACGCCGUGUGCGGGAUGACGGCCUUCGGGUUGUAAACCGCUUUCGCUCAUGACGAAGCUUUGUGUGACGGUAGUGGGUAAAGAAGCACCGGCUAACUACGUG
rnacentral:rRNA from 1 species